GGGCUAUCACAGUAUCAUAAAUAGAAGUUUUACUGGCCGGUUGUUGUUUAUUUCUGUCAACAUAUCUAUUUACCAAGCUUCUUACAUCU